GCUACAUCACGUUACAUCAAAAAUAAGAAGACUCAAAUACUGGUGGUCAAGGAGUUCUUCUACAGAAGAGCCGCAUUGCAAACAUUGAACUGACAGUCUUCACACAUUCAACUUCCUCUUCUACUGCCGAUCAAAACACAACAUGUACUGUUAUUAUUCCUGUGCAGCACUUCAGAUAAGAGACUCUGCAAAAUGCAAAACACAUAAAAAUGAAAAUGCUAAACCUUUCCACUCAUUUUAUGUGAUUUUUAUCUACUUUAAGGCAGGAGUAGAGACCUUAAAAGGUACAAAUUGAUGAAUUUACCAACAGACAAAGGAGAGGAAAGAACUGACGUCACUAUGACGAAGUGAGCAGGAAGUUGAUGCUGUAUUCAUCUCUGAGACUGUCUCAUUUGUGAACGUGAGAGCAAGAACAGAGACUGAGAGAGACAGAGAAGCACGAUGGCUGCAUUCACAUGGAUUCAAAUGUCUUCAUUACUGAUACUGAUGCUUCAGUUUAAAGGAACAGCUGAGCAAUAUUCACCUGUUUAUGCUGUCAGAGCUGAACAUGACGUUACUCUGCCUUGUAAAAAUUUGAUACAUGAUCAGCAUGAAUGUAAAAGUACUAUCUGGCUGUUCAGUGAUUCAGGAAGCACAACAACACUCUUUGAAAAUGGGCAGAUUCACAGAGAUACCCAGACUAAAUCAGACAGACUGAAUGUUAAAAAGAAAAACUGUUCUCUGGUUAUAAAGAAGGUCUCAGUUGAGGAUGUUGGUCGUUACACCUGCAGACAGUUCAACAAAUCAGGACAACAACAAGGUCCAGACAUUCAGGCUGAUCUGACUGUUGUCAGCAUCACUAAACAUAAGAACCAUGGCAACGUCAUGUUGACCUGCUCUGUAUUUGCCUAUGGACACUGUGGGCACAAAGUGGAGUGGCUGUAUGAGGAUGAAAAGAAAAUAUCAGACAUGAAGAUCUCGGCAGGUCGAUGCACUUCUACUGUGACAUUUACAAGAUCUGACCUGUCCAAGUUUUCUAAGCUGUUAAAGUGUCAUGUAACAGAUACUUCCACCAAAAAUGUGACAAUCUUUCCCUUCAAACCUCAAAAGUCUUCAGAUAAAGAUGCAAAUAAGACAAAAUCCACAAUGGCAUCAACUUCCACCACAACAGCAAAUUUAAUGCCAACACUGAAAACAUCAUUGUCAUCAACAAUAUCAUCAAUAAAAUCAUCAAAAUUGUCGACAGCAAUUAACAUCAACGAACGUAAAGACGUCAGCAGUGACACCGGUGUAUCAGAAAGCAUCUGAAAAUCAGUUAUGGUUUAUUAUUGUUCCUGUGGGAUUAGCAGGACUGUUAAUAACUGCUGUCACCAGAUGGAAGAAAAAUACAGAAAACCAGAAACUACUCUCUGACAGCACUGAUGAAGCUGAGACCUAUGUGUUAUACGUCACCGUCAGCUUUACCAAGAAGGCCCAAAACAAAGCCCAGGCAUGUUGUGGUGAUGAUGACGGAGACACUGUGACCUACAGCAUUGUGAAUGCUUCCUCUUCUUCUGCUGGAGGUUUUACAGAUUCAAGCAACCUUUAUUCAAUAAACUAAAGAAAGAGAUUAAAUAGUAUGUUGCACAUAUUUUAUUUUUUUUUUUUUUUGGCAGUGAGGUAGUUCAGUUAGAUACAUUGUAGAUUUUAUUCUUUACACAGUGUUCUCAUAUUCCUAGUAUAUAGAAAUUAUUUACAAGGUGUAUAUGGAUGUCCUUAAUACUAGGAAUGUUAUUUUUCUUUGCACAUGCUUUGUUACUCUGUUUUCCAAUAUUUAGGACAAACGACAUCCAUCACACUUUGGAUGGAGCUGCUCUAUUUCUAGAAAUUGUUGCAGUCUUACAUGCUUCUCUGCAGCUGCUCUCCUCCUAUAAUACCUCCAAACUCCAUCCCCAUUCAGACUGUCUGAUCUCAGGCCACCAAAAAAAAAAAAAAAAAACACCAGCAAACUACUAGCAAGCUUAAUGGAUAUUUUAGUCGAAAUCAAUCAGAAUCCCCAAGUAACUGUCAGAAUCCUCCAAGUACAGGCUGAGGAGGAGCAGCAACACUCUCACCAGUUUUUUUUUUAUCAACCAUUGCCAAGACAUGUUGUAAUUCAUUUGAAGGCCAAACUCUUCAGCUUUGAUGACCUUAAUUGGAAAACUAAUAAAACUGUUUCAUUUGUUGUUGUCUAUCAUCCACCUGGCCCUUACUCAUAAAUUCUAUUGGAUUUCUCUGACGUUUUAUCUAAUUUAAUGGUCAAAUAAAAUAAUUACCUCUGCAAGAAGAAUAUGUUUUUGGUAACAUUUGCAUGCAGACAUCCAUGUCAUUCUGUCUGUAAACAUGGUAAACACAAUAUCUUGAGAGGUUUUUGUAUGAAUUCUUAGAAAACGUUUCAAAAUGUAGACUUAGGGAAUGUUAACAAUCAAUCAAAUUUUCGGCUCACAUAUGAGAACACACAGCAGUACAAGUUGACUUCAUCAUUGUUCUUAUGUUCAGUCACUGGCGGAAACAGAGAGGAUUUAGGGUAAUAAUAAAUACAUCGCAUUAAUAUGCACUGUUGUAAUGUGCUCACACACACUACUGAAACACGCUCACACACACUACUGAAACCAAGGCAUUUAAGCUGAACAGGAAGUUAUUUCCUGACAAGGAAACUGAAGGAAAAAGUGGUACAUUUCUACGUCCACUCAGCAACCUGUUAAUAGCCUAAGUGAAGCAGCAGCAUUACUUAACAAUAUAUUAGCUUCAGCAGAGACCAUCACAACUCUGUCACAUGUGACAGCUGUGGGGCAGCAGCCUGUUGCAAAACACAGUCAAGCUAGCCACACCGCCAGCUGCACCUACAAUCCAGUUGCACUUUUCUUAUUACGGUACGGGUGCCGACUGGCUUAGAAACACGAGUGUCUUUGGGAUACUGACAUUUUUUACUAUUUUACUUCUCAAUCCACUUCGAGUUUUGAAAUAUUAGCUAUGCAUAUAUAUAUAUAUAUACAUAUAUAUGCAUAAAUGCCACUAUCUAGAAGACACUCGUGUUUCUAAGACAGUCGGCAACCUUAUUAUUCAUUUAUUUUUUCAGAAAAUAUAGCACAGUUAGAUGACAACAGUUUAAAAACUCAGAUAAUCAACUUUUUGUCUUUUAACUCUUUUUAAUAUUUUCAUUUCAGGCUUAAAAUUUUAACAUUAGUACAAAGUUCAUUGUAGAGUAAAAAAAAGUGGUACAGGAAUAACCAAUAAAUGAAGAACAUAAAACUUCACACUAGAAAAAGCAGCCUACAACUGAGUUGGCCCAACUUAAACAAAUUGUAAAAUUAGCUAAGCGGUAACUAUUUUGAAUUUUUUGUGCAAAUUGUAUGAAACAUUACUUAACCAGUGGACAGGUACAUUUAUAUGUAAAACAUUAUAACAUAUGAAUAGUGUUUUUCUUAUGCAUGUUUUUGACCUGCGAGGCCGAAUUGUUA
ensembl:lncRNA